CAGCAGCCACGGUAAUACGUAGGGUGCAAGCGUUAAUCGGAAUUACUGGGCGUAAAGCGUGCGCAGGCGGUUAUAUAAGACAGAUGUGAAAUCCCCGGGCUCAACCUGGGACCUGCAUUUGUGACUGUAUAGCUAGAGUACGGUAGAUGGGGAUGGAAUUCCGCGUGUAGCAGUGAAAUGCGUAGAUAUGCGGAGGAACACCGAUGGCGAAGGCAAUCCCCUGGACCUGUACUGACGCUCAUGCACGAAAGCGUGGGGAGCAAACAGGAUUAGAUACCCCCGUAGUCCCUGUCUCUUAUAC
rnacentral:rRNA from 1 species